AGGGUUCGAUUCUGGCUCAGAAUGAACGCUGGCGGCAUGCCUAACACAUGCAAGUCGAACGAAGGCUUCGGCCUUAGUGGCGCACGGGUGCGUAACGCGUGGGAAUCUGCCCUUGGUUCGGAAUAACAGUUAGAAAUGACUGCUAAUACCGGAUGAUGACGUAAGUCCAAAGAUUUAUCGCCGAGGGAUGAGCCCGCGUAGGAUUAGCUAGUUGGUGUGGUAAGAGCGCACCAAGGCGACGAUCCUUAGCUGGUCUGAGAGGAUGAUCAGCCACACUGGGACUGAGACACGGCCCAGACUCCUACGGGAGGCAGCAGUGGGGAAUAUUGGACAAUGGGCGAAAGCCUGAUCCCAGCAAUGCCGCGUGAGUGAUGAAGGCCUUAGGGUUGUAAAGCUCUUUUACCCGGGAUGAUAAUGACAGUACCGGGAGAAUAAGCUCCGGCUAACUCCGUGCCAGCCGCCGC
rnacentral:rRNA from 1 species